AGCAGCAGCCGCGGUAAUACGUAGGUGGCAAGCGUUGUCCGGAAUUAUUGGGCGUAAAGGGCUCGCAGGCGGUUUCUUAAGUCUGAUGUGAAAGCCCCCGGCUCAACCGGGGAGGGUCAUUGGAAACUGGGAAACUUGAGUGCAGAAGAGGAGAGUGGAAUUCCACGUGUAGCGGUGAAAUGCGUAGAGAUGUGGAGGAACACCAGUGGCGAAGGCGACUCUCUGGUCUGUAACUGACGCUGAGGAGCGAAAGCGUGGGGAGUAAACAGGAUUAGAUACCCCCGUAGUCCCUGUCUCUUAUAA
rnacentral:rRNA from 1 species